GGCAAGUGUGGAUGUGUGUGUGAUGGUCACACUCACCAAUUUUUUCCACUGCACUCCUAAUUUUGACAUGCAUUGAUUUACUGCCUCCAAUACAUCUUUUCUAGUUGUUGUAUCUUUUAUUGACUGCAUUGAUGCCAAUUCUUCUGUGAGCUCAACAUUUUCAGUAAUACCUGGAGUGAAAAUCAACAACUGGGUUGUGUCUUUGACAUCACAACUCUCAUCAAGUGCCAAUGCAAAAUAUGAGAAAUUGUUUGCCUUAUUUUUCAACCACUGGUCCAGGUUCUCAAAGAUAUCCUUGACAUGUCUCACAGUAGUUUGCCUUGACAAGCAAAUGUUCUCAUAAUGCUUAUUCUUGUCUGGGCAACAAAUUGCAGCAGAGUCAACCAUACAUUCCUAUACAAAUCCCCCUUCAGAGAAUGGUUUCCUCUUCUUGGUGAUUUUGUGUGCAAUCUCAUAAUUCAUUCUCAUAAUUCUAUCCUGUGCCAAUACUUUUGUGAAAAAAGAUUUGCUCUUUCUGCAUUCCAGAAACCAUCUUCUCAGCUUUCUUUGCUUUUUCUUUGGCAGACAAUUUUUCAUAUCUGAAUGCAUGCUUGGUCUCAAAAUGCCAAUUCAAAUUGUAUUCUUUGAAAAUUGCCACACUUUCUUUGCAAAUUAAACACACAGCUUUUCUACCUACAUUGGUAAAAAAAUAUUUAGAAGUCCAUUCUUUGUUGAAUAUUUGGUAUUCAGUGUUUACCUUCCUUUCUUUGAUGAGCUCAUUUCCAAACUUUUAUUCUCCCGUGCAGU